GAUGAAGAACGCAGCGAAAUGCGAUACGUAAUGUGAAUUGCAGAAUUCAGUGAAUCAUCGAGUCUUUGAACGCACAUUGCGCCCCCUGGUAUUCCGGGGGGCAUGCCUGUCCGAGCGUCAUUGCUGCCCUCAAGCACGGCUUGUGUGUCGGCCUCCGUCCUCCUCCCGGGGGACGGGCCCGAAAGGCAGCGGCGGCACCGCGUCCGGUCCUCGAGCGUAUGGGGCUUCGUCACCCGCUCUUGUAGGCCCGGCCGGCGCUUGCCGACACAUCAAUCUUUUUUCCAGGUUGACCUCGGAUCAGGUAGGGAUACCCGCUGAACUUAAGCAUAUCAAUAAGCGGAGGA
rnacentral:misc_RNA from 1 species